rnacentral:rRNA from 1 species
UACGUAGGGUGCAAGCGUUAAUCGGAAUUACUGGGCGUAAAGCGUGCGCAGGCGGUUGUGCAAGACCGAUGUGAAAUCCCCGGGCUUAACCUGGGAAUGGCAUUGGUGACUGCACGGCUAGAGUGUGUCAGAGGGGGGUAGAAUUCCACGUGUAGCAGUGAAAUGCGUAGAGAUGUGGAGGAAUACCGAUGGCGAAGGCGGCAUCCUGGACCGACACUGACGCUGAGGAGCGAAAGCCAGGGGAGCAAACGGG